UACGUAGGGCGCAAGCGUUACCCGGAAUUAUUGGGCGUAAAGAGCUCGUAGGCGGUCUGUCGCGUCGGCUGUGAAAACCCGGGGGCUCAACCCCGGGCCUGCAGUCGAUACGGGCAGACUAGAGUGCGGUAGGGGAGACUGGAAUUCCUGGUGUAGCGGUGAAAUGCGCAGAUAUCAGGAGGAACACCGGUGGCGAAGGCGGGUCUCUGGGCCGUAACUGACGCUGAGGAGCGAAAGCGUGGGGAGCGAACAGG
rnacentral:rRNA from 1 species